rnacentral:misc_RNA from 1 species
AUGAUAAGAAUGGAAUUCACGGUUUUCUUAAUAAUCAUAAGAACUUUUUAUUGAAAUUUGGAAUGAAGUGCUAUCUAGGUGCAUAUGUGAGGGACAUCAUUAAAGUUUUUAUCGUGCAUGAUGAUAAGUCAGAGAAGAAAAAUAGUGAUUUGAAAGAGAAAUCCAAAUAUGCUGAUAUGACUGAGUUGGCUAGCAUAAUUUGUCAUACCAUACUUGGUAAAGAGAUGAAAGAGCUACCUUCUAAUUGGAUUAACUCAACUGAUAGCGUUAAUAUGCUAUACACGACUGAUAGACAUAAAAAUGUUAUUCCAGUGGGAUUCGUAAAGAAUCAUCCAGCAUUGUGGGCAUGGAGAAAAAGAUUCAUGUUUUAUGAGGAAUGCUGGGUUCGAGCUAGACAUGUGACGGCUAACAUGCACAAAUAUAAUAGAAGAAGAGGUUACAUUCACAAGUGGGUUAGAAAUAUUGCA